UCGAACGAGAAAUUAAUAACNGAAUCUUCGGAAGAAGUUAUUAAUGGAAAGUGGCGGACGGGUGAGUAACACGUGAGCAACCUACCCUAUACAGAGGGAUAGCCCCGGGAAACUGGGAUUAAUACCUCAUAAUACUAAAAUGUCGCAUGGCAAUUUAGUCAAAACUCNGGUGGUAUAGGAUGGGCUCGCGUCCCAUUAGCUAGUUGGUAAGGUAAAAGCUUACCAAGGCUACGAUGGGUAGCCGGCCUGAGAGGGUGAACGGCCACACUGGAACUGAGACACGGUCCAGACUCCUACGGGAGGCAGCAGUGGGGAAUAUUGCACAAUGGGGGAAACCCUGAUGCAGCGACGCCGCGUGAGCGAAGAAGGCUUUCGAGUCGUAAAGCUCUGUCCCAAGAGAAGAAAAAAAUGACGGUAUCUUGGGAGGAAGCCCCGGCUAACUACGUGCCAGCAGCCGCGGUAAUACGUAGGGGGCGAGCGUUGUCCGGAAUCACUGGGCGUAAAGGGUGCGUAGGCGGUUAUAUAAGUCAGGUGUAAAAGGCAUUGGCUCAACCAAUGUAAGCACUUGAAACUGUAUAACUUGAGUACAGGAGAGGUAAGUGGAAUUCCUAGUGUAGCGGUGAAAUGCGUAGAUAUUAGGAGGAACACCAGUGGCGAAGGCGACUUACUGGACUGUAACUGACGCUGAGGCACGAAAGCGUGGGGAGCGAACAGGAUUAGAUACCCUGGUAGUCCACGCCGUAAACGAUGAGUGCUAGGUGUUGGCAUGCGAGUGUCAGUGCCGGAGUUAACACAUUAAGCACUCCGCCUGGGGAGUACGGUCGCAAGACUGAAACUCAAAGGAAUUGACGGGGGCCCGCACAAGCAGCGGAGCAUGUG
rnacentral:rRNA from 1 species